GUCUCACCGUUCAAAUUUUUAGCUUGUCACUUUUUUGAAGCAAACUCGUCUCUCCCCUCUCAUUCAUCCCCACGCAAACUCUCUUCUCUCUCUCUCUCUCACAUCCCAACUAGGCCUCAUAUCCUGGUGGAGUGGUGGCCUGGGUGGGUUCCGGGGCAGGCGUCGCGGUGGCCGUUGUGGCUCCGGCGAGCUCAUGGUCCCGAGCUCGCACAGCUGCGGCGUACUAGGUGGAGGAGCGAGUGGCACAGCUGCUGAUCCGGCACCGCAUCCCUGCGGUUGCAGCGAGCUCGUCUCGUUCGGCGGAGUGGAGCGGCGGCUCCGGCUCCGGCGAGCGAGCGGCAUGGUGCGCGGGGCCAGCAGUCUAGACGACCGAGCGGCUCGCAGUCUGGUAUGACUUAUGAGGCUGUGGGAGCUUCUUCCAGUCUGCAAUUGAGGAGCGGAGGUGCUUUGGAUGCAGAGGAACGUGCAGUUUGUUAUGUUUUUAAAUCAUCUGUAAAUAGAGCUAUGAGAUCCUUGUGAUGACUGAUAGCGUCGGAAUUUGGAGGACUAUUGACAUCAAUGAAAUAAAUUUAGCCCCAUUUUUUUGUACAAAAUAUGAGUUGCAACAGAUGCUUAUGUUCCUGUUGAUGUGAUUGAAUUCAAAUUUAAAGUAAUUUUGGAUGUGAAUUCAAA